rnacentral:misc_RNA from 1 species
UGCGUUUUAGUUAUGGAAGCCAAGGUAGCGCCAAGUUGCACAAGCCUGUGCACUUCCCUCUUGAAUUGGUACUGGGCCGGGAACUGCUUGUUUCUCCAUUGAAUGAGAGCCGAAAAUAUGAACUUGUUGCUACGGUCACUCAUCAUGGGAGGGAGCCUUCAAAGGGUCAUUAUACUGCCGAUGCCCGCUAUCCCAAUGGCCAAUGGCUNNAUUUUGAUGAUGCAUUUGUCACUGCAAUUGGGACAAGCAAGGUGUUGCAUGACCAGGCCUAUGUCCU